UAGGGAGACCAUCUGAUAGUCGACCGAACCUAAACAAUAGGUCGUUGUCAGUCAUCCCUGGUCGUUCGAGAAAUAGAUGUCAAAGCUUUCAAACUAUUAACUGGUUCGGAACUCGCGGGCUAUUAGCUCAGUUGGUUAGAGCGCACCCCUGAUAAGGGUGAGGUCCCUGGUUCAAAUCCAGGAUGGCCCACCUGGAAAAAAGUGAUGAAUUGUCAGUAAUGAGUAAUGGAUAAUCAAUGAUUAAUUCAGGAUUAAUUCAGGACUCAUACAAUCAAAAUCAGAACUUACUUAGUGGGGGUAUAGCUCAGUUGGUAGAGCGCCUGCCUUGCACGCAGGAAGUCAGCGGUUCGAGUCCGCUUACCUCCACUCUCACUAACUAUUACCACCGCCAAAAAAACCCAAAAAAAUAGAAAUCAGCACCCAGACUAACUUGGUCAAAAAAGAAGUCGGAAUGCUGGAGUCUAGAACUCUAGUCAGAACCUUGAAAACUGCAUAGAAAUUAAGUCAUCAAAGCUUGUCAGUCAUCCGAGCAAUCGGAGUAUCUGACCAGCGACCACCAUGAAAAAAUCAAGU
rnacentral:tRNA from 2 species